rnacentral:rRNA from 1 species
GACGAACGCUGGCGGCGUGCCUAAUACAUGCAAGUCGAACAGUGGCGAACGGGUGAGUAACACGUGAGUAACCUGCCCUCCACUUUGGGAUAACUCCGAGAAAUCGGGGCUAAUACUGGAUAGAGGGGGGUGGUCUCGCGGCCUAUCAGUUUGUUGGUGAGGUAGUGCGGACCAAGGCGUGACGGGUAGCCGGCCUGAGAGGGCGACCGGCCUCAUUCGGACUGAGACACAGCCCAGACUCCUAUGGGCGGCCGCAGUGGGGAAUAUUGCACGAUGGGCGAAUGCCUGAUGCAGCGACGCAGAGUGGGGGAUGACGGCCUGGGGAUUGUAAACCUAUUUUAGCAAGUAAGCGGUACUUGCAGAGGAAGCGCCGGCUAACUACGUGCCAGCCGCCGCGGUAAUAC